UUGGAGUCAGAAGUAAACAAAAUCAUCGUGAGUAAUACGUAGUAUAUAGUAAUGAGUAAGUAAACGACCUUUAAUACAAUAACAAUCUAGUAUUUCAAGUACACGUUAUUCAAUAGAGAGAGUCAGUCGACAAUUGGAUACGUAGAGAGUAACAACAUGUUAGCGGGAUAAGAAUAGGUUAGAUCUAAGAUUUUUCUAUGGAUUCAUGGGAAUGAUUUUACGUUCCCGUACGUGGAAAAUUCUACGAAAGUGUCGAAGAAAGAGUUAAGAGUCCUGAAAGAAUAAGAAAGAAAGAGAGAGAGAGAGAGAGAGAGAGAGAGAGAGAGAGAGAGAGAGAGUUGGUAUCAAGAGGCGAUUGCAAAAAACAAGAGUAGAAGUUAGCAGGAGUAGCUGGAGUAACAGCAGCCAGCACCAACAGCAGCCAGCAUAUACGUAUUAGAGCUUGCUGUCAUAACGGAAGGACGAUUGGUCAGAUGUCACGACCUUCUCAUUAACCUCGAGAAGAAGAAGAAAAAGAAAAAGAAGAAGGAGAAGAAGGAGGAGGAGAAGGAGAAGGAGAAGAAGAAGAAGAAGAAGAAGUAGGAAGAAAGGAAGGAAGGAAGAAUAGAGGAAGGGGAUGGGAAGGGAAUGGGAAGAAAAAAACAAGAAGGGCGAAGGAGUCUGAGAGAAUCCCGAAUGGUUCUAUGUUGGCUUGACCACAAAACUUUAUCCUUCUCUUUCUUUCUUAAGAGUGCUCAAGAAAGCGAAACAAGUUCGAGGUUUAAAUUUGGAGCUCCCACCCCCGUUGAAGGAACCUUUUUCUCUCUUGGAUCCCAGGAUGGCACCUGCACCAAGUUGUUAACACCCACACUGAUCUUCUCGUAGAUUUGACAGGAAGGAAACAUUAUCCUCGAAUCCUAAAGAUCUUGCUUCCGCUUAUAACACGCCUAAAUUCACCCUCCUACUCGUUCUAUAGUAUCUAUAAUUACUUGCCA